UACGUAGGGUGCGAGCGUUGUCCGGAAUUACUGGGCGUAAAGAGCUCGUAGGUGGUUUGUCGCGUUGUCCGUGAAAACUCACAACUCAAUUGUGGGCGUGCGGGCGAUACGGGCAGACUGGAGUACUGCAGGGGAGACUGGAAUUCCUGGUGUAGCAGUGAAAUGCGUAGAUAUCAGGAGGAACACCGAUGGCGAAGGCAGGUCUCUGGGCUGACACUGACGCUCAUGCACGAAAGCGUGGGGAGCAAACAGG
rnacentral:rRNA from 1 species